GUUUUGUAAUUGGAAUGAUAGAAAUUUAAACACUUUUUAAAGUAUCAAUUGGAGGGCAAGUCUGGUGCCAGCAGCCGCGGUAAUUCCAGCUCCAAUAGCGUAUAUUAAAAUUGUUGCAGUUAAAAAGCUCGUAGUUGAAUUUCUGCUAAAAAUAACCGGUCUGCUUUAAAUAAAAGUGGUAUCUUGGUGUGUUUUUAGCAAUAAUGUCCUUUGAAAUGUUUUUUACUUCAUUGUAAUAGAUUAUAUUAAGGAUUUUUACUUUGAGAAAAUUAGAGUGUUUCUAGCAGGCUAACGCUUUGAAUACUGCAGCAUGGAAUAAUAAAAUAGGAUUUUGGUUCUACAUUAUUGGUUUUAAGAGCUAAAUUAAUGAUUGAUAGGGACAGUUGGGGGCAUUUGUAUUUAACUGUCAGAGGUGAAAAUUCUUAGA
rnacentral:rRNA from 2 species